AAUAUGUCAAUAGCAAGCUUUUAUGCCUUGACAAAAAUUAGGAACACAUUCAAGGUUUACUUUCAGGAUGUGCUCCAACCAGCUGCAGAUGUGGGGGGAUAUACAAGAAAUGAUGGAGCCAAAAUACAUUUUUUUCAGGAAAGUGCCUUGAGUGGCUUCACAGCAGUUUCCACAUAUGUGCCCUCCACAGUCAUGCGUACUGCUGGUUGUGGCAGUAAGUGCUGCCAUCUACAAAAAUUCAUCACCGCUUAUUCCACUUUUUACCGCUAGGUGGCAGAACUUAUGGUGCGACACCGGUCGACAGAGCUCAGGGUAGCACGCGACCUCGUCAUCAUUGCCAUCCUUCCUCCAGAUCCCUUUGGCCAUGCGGGGCCGUGGACGCCCUCACCAAGUGAUUAAGGACGGCGACCUGGUGCCCUGCAGCACCUGUGGCAAGCGGCUGACAAAGCAUAAUCUGCCAAGACACGCCAGAUCCCAGCACCAGGUCGGCCCGAAAAAGCUUCGAGGUUUUGUGCAGAAAUGUGUAAGAGCGGAGGCGAAGUCAGUUCGUCAGAAGAGGUAUGAGGAGGGUGCGGUUAAGGACUUGUUGAUAUCACAGCCCGACAGCGGAGGACCCGACGGUCCGUCGACGUCGCGCGGUGUUGCGUCUGGGCAUCUGGAUGGUCGUCUGGAGGAGGACGGACCUGCGGUCGUCAGCGGUGCUUUGAGUGGCGGUCCAGCACAGAUGCCUGACAGCCAUAUCAUCCCUGCGCCUGCUGAUGAGGAUCAGCCUGUGUUGAAGAGGGGGAGGGAUGGUGAUGACAAUGAUCAGCAGAAGCAAGAAUACAAAAAGAUCAAGAUGCCAAUCAGCCAGAUCACGCCUACGCCUG